AAUGUGGUUAAUGAUGCUGAACUUUUUUCCCCAUCUUAUCGACCAUGGUGAAUACUGACUGAAACUAAGCCAGUUUUGUCUGAAACCACAUU
ensembl:snoRNA small nucleolar SNORD12/SNORD106